rnacentral:rRNA from 1 species
UUACCAGCUUGACAUGACUAACCUCCUUCGGGCACAGGUGGUGCAUGGUUGUCGUCAGCUCGUGUCGUGAGAUGUUGGGUUAAGUCCCGCAACGAGCGCAACCCUGUCUUAGUUGUCAUCAUAUGGACCUCUAAGAGACUGCCGGUGAUAACCGGAGGAAGGUGGGGAUGACGUCAAAUCAUCAUGCCCCUUAUGUUGGGCUACACACGUGCUACAAUGGGGUACACAGGGCAGGGUAACCGGAGCAAUCCUCAAACCAUCUCAGUUCGGAUUGUGGGCUGCAACUCGCCCACAUGAAGUUGGAGUUGCUAGUAAUCGUGAUCAGAUGCGCGGUGAAUGCGUUCCCGGGUCUUGUACACACCGCCCGUCACACCAUGGAAGUUGGGGGCCGAA